rnacentral:antisense_RNA from 1 species
CUUCACGGAGCCCAGCAGCAGCGGCCGGUCUUCCGGUCGUUCCUGGCCGUACGUGGCCAGGAGUGCCUGCGCCUC